AUGAACGCUAGCGGCAGGCUAACACAUGCAAGUCGAGGGGCAUCGGGAGUAGCAAUACUUGCCGGCGACCGGCGCAAGGGUGCGUAACGCGUGAGCAGCAUGCCCGUAUCAGGGGGAUAAUCCAUGGAAACGUGGUCUAAUACCCCAUAGUAAUUAUGUAAGGCAUCUUAUAUAAUUUAAAGCUUUGGUGGAUACGGAUUGGCUCGCGUGACAUUAGCUGGAUGGUAAGGUAACGGCUUACCAUGGCUACGAUGUCUAGGGGUUCUGAGAGGAAGGUCCCCCCACACUGGAACUGAGACACGGUCCAGACUCCUACGGGAGGCAGCAGUGAGGAAUAUUGGACAAUGGAUGGAAAUCUGAUCCAGCCAUGCCGCGUGCAGGAAAGACGGCCCUAUGGGUUGUAAACUGCUUUUGUAUGGGAGCAAUAAGGGCUACGUGUAGUCCGAUGAGAGUACCAUACGAAUAAGCACCGGCUAACUCCGUGCCAGCCGCUGC
rnacentral:rRNA from 1 species